UUCAAUGGAAAGGUUUGAAUGAGGUUGUAACACCCGAAUUUUCACUUUUUAUAUAAUUUCCGUAAUUUUGCUAGGGGAAGGCAUUUUUGGAAUUUUGGAAUUCAAAUGUAAAUGCGAGAAUUUAAUUUUUGACCUUACAAAAUUAUUCAAUUUAGUAAUUUAUAGCAGGAAUUAGUCUCACUUUUUGGGAAAGAAAAGAAGUUAAUAAAAUAAAGUGGAAUAAGAAAAGUAAUAAAAUAAAGUUUAAUUUAUUUCUUUUUAAGUUUUAAGUUUUUUUAUUAUUCUUUUUAUAUAAAAACAAAACCUCCUCCUCAUUCUUCUUCCUCACCGUGUGGCCUCCCCUUAAAUUUUUUUUUUUUUUUUUUUUAAAAAAACCUAGCCACCGUUGACACCAAUCGCCUGCCGCCUGCCGCCGAAGACCCACCCCCAGGUUAGCCGUCGCCCUUCCUCGCGCCGAUGGUCUGAGCCACACGCACAAUCUUCAGUCGCUCGUCGGGGUGCUGCUCGUCUGCCGUGGGUCGUUGUUGCUCAGAUCGGCGGCACGCACAAGCCCCAAUCGAUCGUUGUCGGGGUGCUGCUCGUACACCGUGGGUCGCCGCUGCUCAGAUCGGCGGCAACGAACUCGAGCCCUAGCCACCGUGAAGCCAUCGACGCCCAGCCUUGAGUUUUGCAAUUGCCAAGUUCCCAGUCGUCGAUAAUGCCAGAGCGUUAGAGUUAGUGCGUGAUCAGAGAUUGGAGAUUGGGUCAUUUCGAGUCGCCGUCAAACAAGGAUUGUGAGCAAUUGGUGAGUUCAAUUGGGUUCUUAACACCCUUCGAUUUGGCGUGUAGCUACAGUCAAUUUUGUGUCUGAAGCUCGACUGUAGUUCAACUUGAGCAAACACUUCGCGUAAGUGUUUUGGAGGUAUUGAUGUGGAUUUUUUAUUUGGGUUAUAUUCUUAGGAUUGGAGUUUAAUUUUUAUUUUCACUUAGGGUUUGAUUUGAGAUUCUUUUUUUAGCAAGGAAGGAGAUAAAUUUGUUUCAGUUGAGCUCAAACUCUAAUGUAAGUAAUUUCACUACUGGAAUCGCUUUUGUGUCAGGCAAUACACUGUAGACAUUGAGGGUCUUGCAGUAGUUUUUGUUAGAAUAUUUUUUUAUUGUUCUGAGGUUGGAUGGACUGCUUAUGAAGGAUAUAUGAUCAUGUGGUAGUAUACUGGAGUAUGAUUAUGUAUGAGCUUAAGCUCGAAUUUUUUAUGUUAUAGUAAAUGAUGUUUGCGCAUGAUCCUUAAGUAGCACUCCUAUUGGAAUGCCUUAAAGCUAGAUGAGCAUUAGACAUUA